UACGGAGGGGGCUAGCGUUGUUCGGAAUUACUGGGCGUAAAGCGCACGUAGGCGGCUUUGUAAGUUAGAGGUGAAAGCCCGGAGCUCAACUCCGGAAUUGCCUUUAAGACUGCAUCGCUAGAACGUCGGAGAGGUAAGUGGAAUUCCGAGUGUAGAGGUGAAAUUCGUAGAUAUUCGGAAGAACACCAGUGGCGAAGGCGGCAUCCUGGACCAACACUGACGCUGAGUGAGCGAAAGCCAGGGGAGCAAACGGG
rnacentral:rRNA from 1 species